ensembl:lncRNA
ACAUACGUUUAUAUAUAUAUUUUUUUUAGCUCAUUUGUAAUAAUAAAAAUUUGAUGUGUGCAUGCAUAUUACUUAUUUUGUUUGCUUUUUUAUUUUCCUUUACCCCAUGUAUCUUUAAUGUUACUAUAAUUAAUAUAUUGAUUUUUUUUUUUUUUUUUGGGGGAUUACAAAUUAAUAAAAUUAGUUUUUUUCAAAUUAUUUGCAUAAAAAAUAAUUGAAUUGUUAAAAAAAAAUAAAAAAAUAAGACUUACAAUAUCAGUGUUAUUAGCAAAAAGAAAAAAUAAAUAAGUUAGCUUUCUUUAAUUAGUAUCACUAGAAAAAAAAAAAAAAUAAUAAUAAAUAAAUAAAAAUAAGUAUUAUUAUAGUGACAUAGAAAAAAACAAAUAAGUAUUAUUACAGUUGCUAAUCAAAAAAAAAUAAAAUAAAAAAUAAACCUCCCCUUAUCAGUAUUACUAGCAAAAAAAAAAUAAAAUAAAAUAAAAACUUUUGUAAAACAGCUAAACUUAUUAAAAUAUAAAAAAAAAAAAAAAAUUCAACAUGAAAAGCAUUAAAAAUAAUAAAAAGAAAGAUCAAAGCUAUAAAAGAGAUAAGUCUAAAGAGAAUGAAAAUACAGAACAGUACGAACAUAACAACUCGAAAAGACACGAAGAAAACAGAAAAAAAAAUGAAACCACAAAAACUUUUAAAAAUGAAAAAAAGGAAGAUAAUAUAGAAAAAACAGAAUAUGAAAAAAAAAAUAAUAAUAUGAGCCAAAGUUCAAACGAAAGCUCAAGCCAAAGUUCUAACGAAAGCUCAAACGAAAGCUCAAACGAAAACUCAAACGAAAACGAAAACGAAAACGAAAACGAAAACGAAAACUCAAACGAAAGCUCAAACGAAAGCUCAAACGAAAGCUCAAACGAAAGCUCAAACGAAAACCCAAACGAAAACUCAAACGAAAACCCAAACGAAAGCUCAAACGAAAACCCAAACGAAAACUCAAACGAAAACUCAAACGAAAACUUAAACGAAAGCUCAAGCCAAAGCUCGACCCAAAGUGUGAGUAAAAAUAUAGUAGUAGACACAAAAAAAACAACGGAUACCCUUGCAGAAACAAACAAAAACAAAAUUUCAAAGGAAUGUGAUGAUAGUGAUAAAGAUAGUAAUAACGAUAAUAGUAACAAUAAUAAUGAUGAUGAAAACUUAAGUUAUAACAUGAAAGUAAAAAACAGAAAGAAAAUGUGGGAAUCGACAAUAAAUAAGGUCCUAAAAUCGAGAGAUACACUUGGUAAAUUUGAAAAUUUUGAAAAAAAUGAAAACGUAAAUAUGACCAGACAAGAUAAAAUAAAUAAAGAAAAAUUAAAAAUAUAUAUGCGUAAUUAUCUUAGUACUUCACAAAAAAAAGAUGUUUAUGAAUAUAUUCCAGAUACAUCUAACAAUUUAAUUUGUCAUAAUAACCCAAAUGAAUUAUAUACUGAUGUAGUUAAUAUAAAUAAAAACCUAUUAGAUAAUAGUAAUAAUAUAAAUGUAUAUUUUUCUCCAGUAGAUGCCUAUCUUUCAAAUGUGGUAAAAACAUCAGAGUCUUUGAAAAUUCAAAAUAAUCAAUCGAAAUCAUCAUUGGCAGAUAAUUCUAAAUUAUUUAAUAACCAAAAUAGUAAUAUAAAGCAAAAUGAAAAUUAUAUUUUAAAUGAUGAAUGUAAUGAAAAACCAUUAUAUGCAUAUGAAUUUUAUAAAAAUAAAAUUUUUAAACAUUAUAAUAAUAAUAAUGUUAUUAUAGAAGUAGAUCCUAAAGAAAUAAAAUAUAAUAAUUCAAAUUAUUAUGAAUAUAAUAAAAAUAUGUACAGCUAUACAGAUGAUCCAUUAUCUUAUUUACAAAAAUUAAAAUGUGAAGUAGAGGAUCUUACUUUAUAUAUAAACGAUAUUGCAAAUAACGAUAAGGAAAAAAAUUAUUUGGAUAAUGGAACAGAAGAAAUGACAGAAGUAGGAAUAGUAAAAAACGAGACAAAAAAAACAGCUUCUGAAAUAAUAAAACAGAAUAAAAUUGUUAAACAAAUAUUACAUAAUAGAGAAGCUCCCGAAGUAUUAAUAGAAUUAUUUUCCUUAAAAAAUGACAUUGAUAAUAUAUUAAGUGAUGACUCAAUAAAAAAUAUAUUACUAUCAAACGAAAAUAAUGAACAACCUACGGUUUAUGACAAAUCUGAAGACAUUUGUAAACUUUUAGAUAAUUUAAAACAAUUAGAAAAUAAUAUAUCAUCAAACUUAGGUGAAAAUAAUGACAAUAGUGAAAACAAAAAAAAAAGUGAAUUUAUGUAUUCACCUAAACAUGUAGAUAUAUAUACAAUUAAAAAUAAUAAAAAAAAAGAAGUUGAAGUGUCAGAUAUAUUAUUACUUGAAGAAAAAAUAACAAAUAUUGAAAAAACGUUAGGAAUUGAAAAAAUGGCAUUGCUUCCAUAUGAUGAUAUAAAUCAUGCCAUUUUAGAUUUAUAUAAUAAAUUAAGUUUAUUAGAUUCAAAUAAAUUAGAAAAUGUCAAAACAAAAAUGAAAAAACUUCAAUCAAAAUUUACAAUGUUAAAAAAAUAUAAAAAGGAAUUUUUAAAUGUUACAAAAGAAAGAGAAAAUUAUGAAGAAUCAAUCGAUGAAUUAUUUAAAAUAUUAGAUAUAUGGAAAAAAACACAUCACAUUAUUCCUAAUGUUUUGGGUAGACUCCACCAGUUAAAAAAAAUUCAUGACAAUGCGCAGUCUUUCUCAUCAAGGCUAGAUGAUUUAGAAAUACAACAAACAAGGCUAGAUGAUACAUUAACCUUAGCAGAAAAAAACAUACAAAUGAUGAAUUAUAAGAUUGAUGAAAAUGUAAAUUUGCUUCGAGACGUGUUAAAAAAAAUGGAAUCAGAGGUACACGUUGCUAAAUAA